rnacentral:lncRNA from 1 species
UCUUUUAUCUUGUUUUAUCUUUCUCUUUGAUCGUAUUUUUUUGACCUACCUUAACCAUAUUAUGGUCGUCAAAGUGGGGUAGAGGAAGGCUGUGUAAAAUAGCAACCCCCUACCAUUUCUUUACCCUAAUCUUCCCUACCCAAUCAUGAGAAGAGGAAGGUUGCCCUACUGGGAGCAACCCCUCACAUGAAUAGAGAAAAAAAAGGCUUAAGAGCAAGCUUGUGUGCUGUACCUUCCCUCC